CAAAAUCAAAUCAGUGACAAAACCAUGAAGAUCAUAGGAUUUGGAAGGUGAAAAAUCAUAGCAUUCAGGACUGCAGGUGCCACCAGCUAAUUGGGCUCACUGGGCUCUGAAACUGCAAGGAGGUGCUGUGACAAGUUACUGAGAACCAAGAAACUUUGGUAACCCCUGAAAUUUGGUGAAAAAAUGAAAUCAAAACUGUGUAAAU
rnacentral:lncRNA from 10 species